UACAGAGGGUGCAAGCGUUGUUCGGAAUUAUUGGGCGUAAAGGGAGUGUAGGCUGUUGCCUAAGUCUUCUGUGAAAUCUACGGGCUUAGCCUGUAACGUGCAGAGGAAACUGGGCGACUUGAGUGUCGGAGAGGAUAGGGGAAUACCCGGUGUAGCGGUGAAAUGCGCAGAUAUCGGGAGGAACACCUAUUGCGAAGGCAGCUCGCUGGGACGUCACUGACGCUGAGACGCGAAAGCGUGGGGAGCGAACAGG
rnacentral:rRNA from 1 species